rnacentral:lncRNA from 1 species
AUGAAUGUAUGUAUGUAUACACGUAUGUAUUUCUAUGUGUACCUAUCUACGUCUAUAUUUGCAUCAAGGGGAACAACAUGGUGGCAGAGUUGGGCGCCUCGAGCGGUCUUCUCCCCAGAGGGUGGGGAGGUGGUCUCUGCUCCUCAGCCUCGGACCCCCUUCCCCGUCCCCACUCAUGGCCUGGGGGGGGGAAGGGGUCCAGUCCCUUUAGGGUUCGGUCACUGUGUAGGGCAACGGCUUCUUCCCCCCCCCCCCCGCCAGUGGACUCCUCACCUGCAGUGCUCAGAAUGGCAGCACUCCUCUCGUGGCCUUGUCACCGGGGGGGGGAGCAUGCUUUUGGGCGGAACCGCCGGUCUCCACAGGGGUCCAAAGCAUCUGGAGCACGCCACGGGGAACGGAGACGGCGUCCGAAAGCAGCCAAAUGCCCCACGCCCCCACCCAUCGAGUAACGCCUGCCUCCACCCAAGACAACAUGCCCUCUUGGCAUUAUUGGGCUCAGGGCCCUUUCUAACUCUGCCUCUCUCUCCUUCUACCUCCAGCCUCGGACCGUGGCAAGAAGCCACCGCCAGCCCACCCCUCUGGAGCACCGCGGGAACUCAGCGAGCCCCUUGCGGCACAACCGCCGGGCCCGUGGAAGGCAGCUCCCUCAGCACCGGCUGCGGCCCUACAUUAUCUCCCCACGGCCCCUGUGGUGGCCUAUCCGCUGUCCUCCCUCAUCUACUGUCCUCUGCUCGCAACUACCUCGUCCGCUUCCCCAGCUGGCCUUCCCACUUACGAUGCCCGCAGGUUCCAGGCCCCGGAGCUGAAAACUUGGGCCUCUCGGCCGGAGCCAUCAGAUCGCCGGGGCACCCUGAUGUUUGGUGGCGGCCUGCGGGACCUCAACCGCUCGCUGCGCCGUGCCGUGGACGCGGCCAAAGACAUGAAGGCGACCACCCAACAGAUGAGCCGGUCUUUGGCUUGGGAACUGAGCAAGGCGAAACAUCUGCGGAGAUCCUGCCUCUUCUGAUGGGAGAAGUAGGCCACCCCCCUUUCUUUCUGCGGCGCUCGGCGAGACCCCUGAGAAACAGGGAAUUGAGAUGCCUAACCCCUAUUGCAGAGGAGAACUUGGGAUUCCUCCACGUUCGGGAGGAACAUUUUGGGGUGGCCAAGAAUCUGAAGCAUCGUGGAAGCUUGAAAGAGGGAUCCCGGAGAGAGCAGGUUCAUAAACUGCAUUUGCCUUGCACUUCUGUAAGGAGACGGCCGGGAGUCGCCUCUAAACCUCGGUCCUGCUCUUCCCCGUUCCCUCCUGACUGAUCUGGAACAAGUCACAAGAUUUCCUCUUUCCCGGAAGCUCUUCCGCUCACCUCGUGCCUCUUCUCAAGCACAGAAAGGCAAAAGCGUCUGCAAUUUUAGGACUGAAAUACGUCCUUUCGCUUUCACGGGGCAAAAAUGAGGAAAGGGCAGGAAAUUGUGGCUGCUUUUCGGUUCUUAAAAAAGUGGCCACCAGAAGGGCCUGUAGUCCGGUACGUGUGUCUAACGUUGACCAAGGACCUGCGAAUCUUCAUAACCGCCCUGCGUUUCCCAGCGUUGGGUCCUUCACACUCUGAAGUGGUCGAGUCGUGCCGUCUCUUCCCGGACACGUUUUUUCUCUCCUUACCUCAAUUGUUAUUAUGCCUUAAGUCUUCAGACCCCAGCUUGUCGGAAGAAAGUCGGACCCGAUCCGUCAUGAAACAGCUUCACCUGUUGCACGGAGUUGAUGAGUCAGUCCGGCUUAAUCUGGCCAGCCUAUUUUUAUAAAAGGAAUCUGGAAAACAGGAAGAAGCAACUGGACGUUUCUCCAGGGCUGUGGAAUAACUUCUGCUUUAUCCGUCUCCUCCCGAUAAAGCCGUCUUGGAACCAGCGUUGCCCGACACUGCGUCCUCUCGGAGGAAAGUCGGCUUUCUCUAAUGCUGCUGGUCCAUGGGUGACAACUUCUGUAAAUCCAUGCCUAGGAACUGAAAUGUGCUGGUUGCACGUCAUCGGUAAAACUCCCCACUGGCUGUAAAAGUGCUUGUAUUGACCCUCUAAAACCAGAGAGCAUAUCCGUAGCAGUACCUACCUCACGUCUUGUGUGUGUCUGUGUGCGAGCAGAAAAAGGAAGACUGGAUCGUUGUUUUUUUAAAAGACCCAUUCAUUCUGAACCACAUGUUGUGUCAGUCCAAAGACUUGUACGAAUAUAACUAGUGCCUGGUGGUAGAUUUUUUUAAAAAAAAGCAUUCCGAUGUGGGGUUUUUUAAAGUAAUAAUUCUGAGAGUUUCAUUAAUCUUAUUUAAAUCUGCAGAGAGAUCAAAGCUGUAUAGUCUUUUUGGAGCUGGAGAGAACAAACCUUUUAGACGAGGGCAUCGCCCCACAUCUCCUUGUGAGUGAGAAAGACAAACUAGAUCUUCUAAGAAAGUGCAUACCGCAUGCCAGUUUUGCAGUUGCAUUAAAAAAAUGAAGAUUUUUUUUAAAUACAUCAUUGUCUAAAUCUAAAAGACAAUGAAAGAGGUUUCUGAUACACAAAAUAAAACCCCAGAUGACUAAUCA